GGCGUCAUUUCUAGGCGUCCAACACACACUUAUUUGUUCUCGCGUUGGACUGAAGGCUCUCUGAAAUCUCUCUCACUUGGUAAGUAUUUAAUUAUAUUUUUUUUAUGGUUUUAUUUCGACGGUUUGAAUUGAUUCUUGUUUAUUAUUAAAUAAUUCGUGUUCCCGAUUUUAUUUAUUCUAUGAUACCCGUGUACAGCUUGAUAUAAUACCAUGAUUAAUUUCCAUGACCACGUGAAUUUUUUUUUCGUCACGUCAUUGUUCUCUUUUUAAUUUGAGUAUCUUUAUAUCUAUGUUUGCUCUUUGAUUUUAGAAUCUUCAGCCCGAAAAUGAGGGCUAAGUGGCGUAAGAAGCGUAUGCGUAGGUUGAAGCGCAAGAGGAGGAAGAUGCGUGCGAGGUCCAAGUAAACCUCAUGGCCGGCUCCGGAUAUUUCAUUGUCAUGUUUUGGUUAAAAAAUACAACAAUGCUGUAAUAACUUUUAUAUUGAUAAAUCAUUAAAUAAUUAAUGUUCUACAUCUAAAUUUUUGUUUUUAUUUAUAUUGGUUAAAGUAUACGUUUACUUUUGGUUAAUGCAUUUUCUGAUUUUCCGGUAUAUCUCUAGUUUUGUAGGUUAAAAUAUAUUUGUUAAUAUAUU